GGAAUCUUAGACAAUGGGGGAAACCCUGAUCUACCCAUGCCGCGUGAGCGAUGAAGGCCUUAGGGUGGUAAAGCUCUUUCGUGGGGGCAGAUAAUGACUGUACCCCAAGAAGAAGCCCCGGCUAACUCCGUGCCAGCAGCCGCGGUAAUACGGAGGGGGCUAGCGUUGUUCGGAAUUACUGGGCGUAAAGCGCACGUAGGCGGACCGGAAAGUCAGAGGUGAAAUCCCAGGGCUCAACCUUGGAACUGCCUUUGAAACUCCUGGUCUUGAGGUCGAGAGAGGUGAGUGGAAUUCCGAGUGUAGAGGUGAAAUUCGUAGAUAUGCGGAGGAACACCAGUGGCGAAGGCGGCUCACUGGCUCGAUACUGACGCUGAGGUGCGAAAGCGUGGGGAGCAA
rnacentral:rRNA from 1 species